GAUGGCGACGGCGCACGGGUGAGUAACACGUAUCCAACCUACCCAUGACUCGGGGAUAGCCUUUCGAAAGAAAGAUUAAUACCCGAUGGUAUAUAUUUCCUGCAUGGGGAAUAUAUUAAAGAGUUUCGGUGAUGGAUGGGGAUGCGUUCCAUUAGUUUGUUGGCGGGGUAACGGCCCACCAAGACUUCGAUGGAUAGGGGUUCUGAGAGGAAGGUCCCCCACAUUGGAACUGAGACACGGUCCAAACUCCUACGGGAGGCAGCAGUGAGGAAUAUUGGUCAAUGGACGAGAGUCUGAACCAGCCAAGUAGCGUGAAGGAUGACUGCCCUUUGGGUUGUAAACUUCUUUUAUAUGGGAAUAAAGUGGGGUAUGCAUACCCUUUUGUAUGUACCAUUAUGAAUAAGCAUCGGCUAACUCCGUGCCAGCAGCCGCGGUAAUACGGAGGAUGCGAGCGUUAUCCGGAUUUAUUGGGUUUAAAGGGAGCGUAGGUGGGCGAUUAAGUCAGUUGUGAAAGUUUGGGGCUCAACCUUAAAAUUGCAGUUGAUACUGAUUGCCUUGAGUGCGUUAAAGGUGGGCGGAAUUCGUGGUGUAGCGGUGAAAUGCUUAGAUAUCACGAAGAACUCCGAUUG
rnacentral:rRNA from 1 species